UUUUUUCUUCCUGCGCUGGAGGUGAAAAUGAAGGGUAUUAGCAUAAGAAAAAGAAAAUGAGAAUUAAAUGAGGUGAGAUUCGUUUACAGAGUGCCACUUCAGCUGCAGCUGGCAACGUGCCCUUUUCGGGCAAAGAUUUUCGUCAGAAGGAUUCUUCACGAGGUUUUAGGCCGUGUAUUUAACGGGGUUAAUUGCACAUUAGGAGAUAACUUGAUUCCGUCUGCUGCUUUUUUUUUUUUUUUUUUUUGUCUUUAACAGCAUCCAAAAUUUAAGUAGUGAAACUCGAUUUGCACCGAGCAAAUGUGCUGUAAAAGCUGUGAUGUUCUGGAUCAGUUGCUGCUGCCGGGGGGGGGGCAAACAGAAGCUCGCCGUGGCCCCCAGCUACGAUGGAUGGAGAUUUCAGCCAGGACAUCUGCACAUGUAGACCCCGGUAAGUCAGAACUCUGCACCAAGCGCUUCCUUGUGAAGACUGCGAACCUUUGAGCCAGCAUUUGCCGUUCAGCCCUUGCCAAAGUGCUUUCUGACUGGAGAGGUGUCCUGGAGAAGAGUACCAUGCUCUAGCUUUGGUGGGCAGCUUUCAACAGGAAUCUUAGAAGCAGCAGAGAAUGCAUUUCACAUCCUGUGUGAUGGCAUUAAAAAAUCUGUGAGAAACGCCAGCACCUUUGCAUCACUUAGUUUUUAAUACUACAUACCUAUCUUAAAAUAUUAGAAGGCCACCUCUUCUGGCUUGGGUAUAAUUAUCCAGAUGGUCAAAUGUCCUUAUUCUGAGUAAGUACAGCGGAAUGCGGAAACGUGGAAGCAAUGCAGAGGAAGGCACAUUCUCUUGGGGAAUAUUGAAAACAGAGAGCACUGCAUCCUGUGCUGCUGGUGAAAGAUGUGUUUUGCUUGUUGUUAUUAAUACUUUGGUAAUUGCAUACCCAAGGGAGCAGUGGUUUAAAUUAUUGUGAAAGCUGCCAUUGAGUGGCCUGGUUAUUUAAAAAGAGAAACACUGGUUUGUCUCUGUGCCUCCUGCACAGACUAUUAUGUAGGAAAACAUAGUUGUAUUUCUGGUUUUUAACUUGUCCUAGUAAACAGUGCUUCUGCUUC